CCUGCGCACAUCCGCCGAUCUAGCUGCGUGUGGCGGCCCCACCGGUAUCCCGUAUGCGCCUGCGUGUCGCGUCCCGCCUCUUGCCCUGCGCGUACCUCGGGGGCAUUCUGCGCGCGUGGUCUUGAGCCUGGGGUCCCCAAAGUGCUGGUUCAGCGGGGCGUACGGGAACGGAGAUAGGGCAGGAAGGUCCCUUUACAAGGACUGGCCCGAGCCGAGCAGAUAAACUCCAGCGUCCCAGACUCGGACAACGAAUCCUUGGGCCUGCAGACCUCUUCCACGCCUGAGAGCUGGCUGCCACAUCACCUCUGUCACAUCAGAAUCCUCUGGAGGCUUCCAGGACAUCAGGACUCUGCUCAUGGAAAGAGGGUCAGCAUUAGAGCCAGACGCAGGGGUCCCAGAGGAUCUUCCUUCUCAGGUUUCCACCAUACCCCGAAUGCCUCAAAUCUCUCAUGCACCUUUCCUCAGCACUCUGUGCCUUGGUGCUGGCUGCCCUCCAAGAUCUGUCAGGCUUCGCAGCUCUGUUUGUUGGGUCAGCAGAGCAAUGGCACAAGCCACAGCCCCCAGAGCCGCCCCCCAACUCAACCAGAGAGCAACUGAGAGUGCCGACUCUCGAACUGUGCCACCCAUGUUGCCCAGGGACUCUUUAGGAGCUAGCGAGAAAGGAGGGCAGCUUUCCACCCCCAUCUCCCAGCCAGCACCUGCUGAAUGUCCUGAGGUCUUCCAGAGAAAGGGCUCCUGCUCCUCCCAGCCAGGGAUUCCCCGACAGGAGGAAGUUCGCCUCCUAGGGAAAUGAGGCCACCUCUGUAGUACCUUGAACGGAGGACCGGUUUUUUCCAGUG